rnacentral:lncRNA from 1 species
UUGCCAAAAGCGGACGUCAAUAGAUGUAAUGCAAAAAUAGUGUCUUGUGUUCAAAAAAGGUUGGGAAAUACUGAGUGAAAGGAUAGUGCACAAACCAUAGGCACACAGCUCAAGGAAUUAUCAGGAAUUGAACAUGUCCACGUGUGCCCAACCCAGCUCUCCAGCACACCUUCCCAGCCUCAACCCAUCAUCUGGAUUCUGAGGGUCAAUCAAAGAGUGAGGAGCUGACAGAAGAGUUUGAGCCACAGCUUCCUGCGAGACAGGAAAAAUCUGGAAGAGUGAAGGGUCACUCUUGGCUCCAGUGAGGACGUUAUUGCUGAGAAUUAGAUGCUGAAGUUGGCACCAUCAAAUAACUAGUCCUGGAUGCAUGUCACUAGUAGCAGCCAUCUCACUGCCUCAGGAACUCAAGUUUACCAUGGUCACCAUGGCCUUGGAGAAUACUCACCUCAUCCUUUUUGUGCAUCACUCGCUCUCAAUUCUAAAAAAGGAGAGAACAUCUGAUUGGCAAAGCCUAGGUGAUACAAAUAUCUGGAAUUCUCAUCUUUUGUAAUGGGAAGUAACUCUGCUUGCUGUUAAGAUUCACAGAGGAAAUAAUCACCAGCUCCUGGAGGGGCUCGUGGGUAGGUAUGGAGAGAGAUGAGCAAUGGUCUACACAGAUGACAGAACAUAUCCACAUCCCUAAGGAGCUUUGGAGUAAACCAGAGUAAAAGCAACCAAAACAGAGUCCAAGUCAGGGUCCUUCCAUCCUCAAACCAGGCUCCAGUGGUACAGUGCCUGCUGCUCAGUCAAUGCCUGAUGAUGGAGUGAACAGAUUUCUGCUUUCUGUGGCCACCUCUGGGCCACAGAAAGGCCCAGAGGUUACAAGCAACCUCUGGUCUUUGAAGAAGGAGCAAAAGGACAGAGAAGUAUGAAAAGGAGCCCCGUUUGGAUGCACCCACUGAGCACUGAAGGGGAGGACUCUUAGGUGG